rnacentral:misc_RNA from 1 species
GAAGCUUGGCAGUUCCCCCCCCUCCCCCACUGACACCGACACAUACAGACAUCAAAUCAACUGGCCUCAUUCUCUCCGUCAGCAAGCGACGAUGAGCAGCGCGUCCUCAUCAAAGGCGCCCUCUGCUUCUGCAGUCGCUUCGACUGCUGACCCCGCCGACGCCGGCAGUGUUAGCAGCAGUCCCACUCUCACCGCGGCGGAGAUGAAGGAGUUCGCUGAGCUUCGGUGCCAGAACCAGCUGCUCAAGGCUGAGAACGCGGUGCUGCAGCGUAAACUAGAGGAGGAGCGGGCACAACGGCGGCAAUCCCAACUCGACGAGAAUCACUACAACUUGGAAGCCGAAGCGUGCCGCGAGGCUAUUGAAAAGACUGACGGCAACGCGCAGGUGCUAGCGCUCUAUGAUGAGCUACAGCGUCUGCGUAAGAAGUGCGACAUCUACGCGGAGGCUGUGGAGGAGUCUCGGAGCUACUUUUUCGAGAUGAAGCGGCUGUACAUGGAGGUGUCGCCGUAUUUGCGUUCGUUGUCCGGUGAUUCUCAGGCGCACCGCGCAGCGUCCGUGUGAUAGAGAGGGCAGCUGCGCACGAUUGUGUGUGUGCGCGCUGGUUGGCUGUGAUGUGCCCCUGCGGCCCAUUGUCUGCCUGCUCGAUCUGUCGAGUGCAUUUCUUCUUCUUUUUCACCUGUACCGUGUGUCGCGUGUUCUCUUCUGAUCGACUUUUCGGUCGACGUGCAUGUGCUGUGGGAGGCGGUCAACUGGGGCUUGCCGACGGUCCCCCCCUCUUCUUCCCGCUGCUGCUGCUGCUGCCACUUUUUGGACUGUGUUCCGUGGGCCGCCACGUUAUCACCGCCACCCGUCUCCUUCCUUUUCCCUCGGCCCGCCCCGCUUUGCUGAACACACGCCGCACAUUCCCAUUGCGGCUCCUCUCUUCUUUCAUAUGGUUGCUUCACCACCUACUGGGGGUGUAGGCGGCUGAUGCACAGCUGCACAUGCAUCCACCCCCCCCCCUGCGGACAAAACAGCGCUUAUUGUCGUCUCCACUCCUCUGCGCAUGUCUCUAUGCACUGGCGGCUAUGCCUGCCCGGGUGACGCCCCUGAAGGCCCUCCGCGACGGUUCCUUUGCCCUCUCCCCACAUGGUAGGAGUACGACAAAGGGGACGAGGGAAGAGAGGAUGUCGCUGAGUGUGGGGGUGGGGUGGCGGUACUCUAUGCUGUGGCUCACUGGAAGUGACCCGUGUCUUGGCACGCACCCCCACCGGCAUAUCAACCCGCCUUCUUGAACGAAUACUCAUCCGCCCCCUGCCAUUCCUCCACCCUUCGAUCCUCUCCCCUUCGUCGCUCACCUUGCCCUGCCUCUUUCACUCCUCCUCCUUUCGCCAUCUGAGUGAGAG